AGGGUCUCUGGUUAUGGUGGGUGGUUUCUCUUGAGGCUCUCUCUUCAUGACCCUGUUCUUCCUCUCAACGUUGAGGCACCUGGUGAGGAGGCUGCUGCGAAGUUGGGGCUCGCUGUGCUAGCCGCUGUCAGUGAGUUCAGAGCUCUGGAUAAUUCUGCCCUAGUUAGAUUGGUUCACAAGCCAUGAGAUCAAUUUUCAACGACUAGGCACU
rnacentral:misc_RNA from 1 species